rnacentral:rRNA from 1 species
UUCCGGUUGAUCCCGCCGGACCUGACUGCUAUCGGAUUGAUACUAAGCCAUGCGAGUCAUUGUAGCAAUACAAGGCAGACGGCUCAGUAACGCGUAGUCAACCUACCCUAUGGACGGGGAUAACCUCGGGAAACUGAGAAUAAUACCCGAUAGAACACUAUACCUGGAAUGGUUUGUGUUCCAAACAAUUUAUUGCCGUAGGAUGGGACUGCGGCCUAUCAGUUUGUUGGUGAGGUAAUGGCCCACCAAGACUAUUACAGGUACGGGCUCUGAGAGGAGUGGCCCGGAGAUGGGUACUGAGACACGGACCCAGGCCCUAUGGGGCGCAGCAGGCGGGAAAACUUUGCAAUGUGCGCAAGCACGACAAGGUUAAUCCGAGUGGUUUCUGCUAAAGAAACCUUUUGACAGUCCUAGAAACACUGUUGAAUAAGGGGUGGGCAAGUUCUGGUGUCAGCCGCCGCGGUAAAACCAGCACCUCAAGUGGUCAGGAUGAUUAUUGGGCCUAAAGCAUCCGUAGCCGGCCCUGUAAGUUUUCGGUUAAAUCUGUACGCUCAACGUACAGGCUGCUGGGAAUACUGCAGAGCUAGGGAGUGGGAGAGGUAGACGGUACUCGGGAGGAAGUGGUAAAAUGCUUUGAUCUCUCGAUGACCACCUGUGGCGAAGGCGGUCUACCAGAACACGUCCGACGGUGAGGGAUGAAAGCUGGGGGAGCAAACCGGAUUAGAUACCCGGGUAGUCCCAGCUGUAAACUAUGCAAACUCAAUGAUGCAUUGGCUUAUGGCCAGUGCAGUGUUGCAGGGAAGCCGUUAAGUUGCCGCCUGGGAAGUACGUACGCAAGUAGA